rnacentral:rRNA from 1 species
UACGGAGGGUGCAAGCGUUAUCCGGAUUCACUGGGUUUAAAGGGUGCGUAGGAGGGUCUGUAAGUCAGCGGUGAAAUCUCCGAGCUUAACUCGGAAACUGCCAUUGAUACUAUAGAUCUUGAAUACCGUGGAGGUGAGCGGAAUAUGUCAUGUAGCGGUGAAAAUGCUUAGAUAUGACAUAGAACACCAAUUGCGAAGGCAGCUCACUACACGCAUAUUGACUCUGAGGCACGAAAGCGUGGGGGAUCAAAACAGGA